GUGUCAGCCGCCGCGGUAAUACGUAGGGACCUAGCGUUGUCCGGAAUCAUUGGGCGUAAAGCGCGUGUAGGCGGCUCGGCAAGUCCGAUGUGAAAGCCUGGGGCUCAACCCCGGGACUGCAUUGGAAACUGCCUUGCUAGAGUUCGGAAGAGGGGACUGGAAUUCCUGGUGUAGCGGUGAAAUGCGCAGAUAUCAGGAAGAACACCGGUGGCGAAGGCGGGUCCCUGGGACGAUACUGACGCUGAGACGCGAAAGCGUGGGGAGCAAACAGGAUUAGAUACCCUGGUAGUCCACGCCGUAAACGAUGGGCACUAGGUGUGGGAGGUGUCGACUCCUUCCGUGCCGUAGCUAACGCAUUAAGUGCCCCGCCUGGGGAGUACGGCCGCAAGGCUAAA
rnacentral:rRNA from 1 species